rnacentral:lncRNA from 13 species
AUGUACCUGAUCAGCCAGAGUACAAUAGAACACCAGCACACCAUGUCGGCUUCACUACUGUGGCUUUAUGGGAAGUCUUUAAAUCAAUUAUUCACUCUCAGUUGUCUGUCUCGUUUCUUCCUAUCUAUGGGCAGACUGGCCAGCGACAACUAUAGGCCAUCACUGUUGACAGCUUUCAACAAAUGCCUUUGCUGCUGUUAUUCAAGGAGGCCGCAUACUGCAGUUCUACCUCCCAGGUCAUCUGAGUUAAAGAUAAGCAGAGGAUAGAAGCAAUUUGAGGCAAUUCAAGUGAAAUAAAGUGUUUAAUAUUGGGCA